UAAGCGGAGGAAAAGAAACUAACAAGGAUUCCCCUAGUAACGGCGAGUGAAGCGGGAAGAGCUCAAAUUUGUAAUCUGGCACUUUCAGUGUCCGAGUUGUAAUCUCGAGAAGUAUUUUCCGCGCCGGACCGCAUACAAGUCUGUUGGAAUACAGCGUCAUAGUGGUGAGAACCCCGUAACUGAUGCGGAUGCCCGGUGCUUUGUGAUAUACUUUCGAAGAGUCGAGUUGUUUGGGAAUGCAGCUCAAAUUGGGUGGUAAAUUCCAUCUAAAGCUAAAUAUUGGAGCAAGACCGAUAGCGAACAAGUACCGUGAGGGAAAGAUGAAAAGCACUUUGGAAAGAGAGUUAACAGUACGUGAAAUUGUUGGAAGGGAAACGCUUGAAGUCAGACUUGCUAUUCGGAGUUCAGCCGCAAGGUGUAUUCUUCGAUUUGCAGGCCAGCAUCAGUUUUUGGGGGUGGAAAAUCGUGGUUUGAAGGUAGCAGUUUCGGCUGUGUUAUAGCUUUCCACUGGAUUCAUCUUCGGGGACUGAGGAACGCAGUACGCUUUUUGCAAGGCUUUCGAGCUUUUCGUACUUAGGAUGCUGGUGGAAUGGCUUUAAACGAC
rnacentral:rRNA from 1 species